rnacentral:rRNA from 1 species
AGGUGUGAUCAUACCAGCACUAAUGCACCAGAUCCCAUCAGAACUAUGCAGUGAAGCGUGCUUGGACAAGAGUAGUACUAGGAUGGGUGACCUCCUGGGAAGUCCUCGUGUUGCAGUUU